AGGUGCAGAAGGGGAGUUGGUUGUGUGUCGAGGGCGGCGGUGUCCUCCAAGGCGGACGCAGGUUCCCAGGUCGGACAAUCAUAUCCUACCCAUUUGACAAGAUAUUUGCGGCGGCGGUGGUUGGUUCUAUUGUCAAGAAUUGCUUUGAUUUCCCACUUGAGUUCAUUGUCUUCUCCUAUGAUGGUGGGUGGCUGUCAAUUGGAGAUUCUCUGUGAGGGGAAUGGAUCCUCGGCUGCGGGUUGGAGCAGGUUUGUAUGAAAGACAUCAUGAAUGCCAGGCAGAGUGUUGAGUUGAUAAUUGUGUGUGCCUAGCACUUCCUUCACUGUAUACUUGGUGUGGUGGUAAUCUAGUGUAUGCGAGGGGCAGUCUGUUCUUAUGUUUUUGAGGUCCAGUCAGACUUUGUCUUCUAUAUGAUAUUGAGUUGCAGAACUCCUUCUGAUGUUUGCUUGAUUCUUGUAAUCUUGCUGAGUGCUGAUCAUUGAAGCUUCUGCCCAUUCAUGGGCUUUCUUCAGCUUGCUCAUGAUGUUCUCUGCCGCCUGUAUGAGGCUGCGGGCGUAUGCGGUUUCUCAGGGAGUCUCAGGGAAGUUCAGAAUCUCUAAGUUGUAUCCAUGUAGAAGGAAGAAUGAGCUUACAUCUGUUGUAGUGG
rnacentral:sRNA from 1 species